UACAUGGGGUGCAAACGUCGCUCGGAAUUAUUGGGCGUAAAGCGCACGUAGGCGGUUCGUCAAGUCAGACGUGAAAGCCCCCGGCUCAACCGGGGAAGUGCAUCUGAAACUAGCGGGCUUGAGUACGAAAGAGGGUCGCGGAAUUCCCGGUGUAGAGGUGAAAUUCGUAGAUAUCGGGAGGAACACCAGUGGCGAAGGCGGAGACCUGGGCCGAUACUGACGCUGAGGUGCGAAAGCGUGGGGAGCAAACAGG
rnacentral:rRNA from 1 species